rnacentral:misc_RNA from 1 species
UCCGGUUUAUCACCGGCGGUCCCGUCUAGAGUGCUGCCUUUAACAGCGAGCAACUAGAGGCAAGGGUUGCGCUCGUUGCGGGACUUAACCCAACAUCUCACGACACGAGCUGACGACAGCCAUGCAGCACCUCUGUUACUGUCUAUUGCUAGACGUUUCCAUCUCUGGAAACUUCACUAACAGUUCAAACCCAGGUAAGGUUCUUCGCGUUGCAUCGAAUUGAACCACAUGCUCCACCGCUUGUGCGGGCCCCCGUCAAUUCCUUUGAGUUUCAGACUUGCGACCGUACUCCCCAGGCGGUGCACUUAUCGCGUUAACUUCGGCACAAACCGAAAACCGGCUUACACCAAGUGCACAUUGUUUACGGCUAGGACUAC